AAGGCUGAAUGGAAAUCUUUAGGGUUGCAUCUGCCAGGGAAAACAGUGAUUCAAAAACAGUAUCACAACUGGAUUCCUCCAAUCCUGGAGGAACUGCAGAAAUUAGUGCCGCCAUCAAGGACUUGAAAGAUGCAGGGGUGGUGGUUCCCAGCACAUCUCCCUUUAACUUCCUUUCAGACAGCAGAGAAGACAGAUGGAUCAUGAAGAAUGACAGUUGACUAUUGAAAACCCAAUCAAGUAGUGACUCCAAUUGCAGUUGCUGCACCAGAGAUGUGGUGUCUUUACUUGGACAGGAUUAACACAUCUCCUGGUACAUGCAGAGCUAUUGAUCUGGCAAAUGCCUUUUUCUCAGUACUUUUUCCAUAAGGACCACCAUAAGCAAUUUGCUUUCAGUUGUCAAUAUACCUUUGUGCCAGCAAUAUACCUUUACAGUUUUACCUUCAAGGAUAUAUUAACUCUCCAGCACUGUGCCAUAAUUCAGUUUGGAGGAAUCACGAUCAUCUGUCUCUUCCACAAAAUAUCACAUGGGUUACUAUAUUGAUAAUAUUAUGCUAGUUGGAUCAAAUAAGCAGGAGGUAGAAAUCACUUUGGACUUGCUACUAACAUACAUGCAUACCAGAGGAUGGGAAAUAAAUAUACUGUUUUUCUAUGAAACCUCAUUAGUUUGUAAGUCAAUUAAACAGAUAACUAAAAACAAGAAAAAGGUGUGUGAAUAGAGGGCCCCACGUGGGUGUCCAUUGCUGCUCCUGGAAGAUAUGGGUUAUUAAAUAAAAAUCUUAGUACCAGGCCUGGGUUAUCUCCCUAGGAAUUAAUGGUCAGGGAAGCCCCAGAGGCUCCCAAACAAGACAGGCUCUUGCCAUUGCUUUUGGUUGUCUAUCACAACUAGAUGCUAUAGUGUAUAUGAGGAUGCCCAUAGUCUUACAUAUCUGAGUACUUGGUUCUCAGUUGGUGGAACUGUGUAGAAAGAAUUAGGAGGUGUGACCUUGCCCGAAGACGUGUUCACUGGGGGUGGGCUUUGAGGUUUUAAAAGACUCACACCAUUCCCAGUUUUAUCACUCUCUGCCUUGUGUUUAUGGAUCAGAUGUAAGAUACCGCUCCAUCUCUAUACCUGCUUGCAUUCUACCAUGCUCCUGGGCAUGAUGAUCAUGGACUAACAUCUUCAAAUUGUAAGCAAGUUGCCAAUAAGCUCUCCCUUUUACCAGUUGUCCUGGUAAUGAUGUCUCUUCACAGAAAUAGAAAAGUGAUUAUGGUAAGGCCUUGUUGCUGAAGAUGCCACACACUUUGGUUAUAGGGUAUACAGAGAAAUCAGUCUUGGAGUGACCAGAAAACUCUUUCCCUGUGGACUAGCUUUUUUAGUGUUGAAAGGUUUUAUGCAGGUCUUAUUCAGUGCUAGUCCCUGAAUGCUUAGUCUGACCUGCAAUACAAGAUGUGCUUUCUGGUGAAGUACUAGUAAGAAUUUUUGUAGAGAUAACUAAUGAUUCACUUGAUUAAAUCUGAGGGCUGCUCAGUGGAGAGAAUUCGUAUCUGCUACUGUAAAUCUGGUCAGAAAAAAUGAGUAGGAAAACAUAGGUCCUAGAAGAGAACCUAUUGAUAUGGUUUGUUAAAUAGUCAUACCAAACUGCCUUCUGAAUAAUUAGAUUUAUAUCCAUAGAUUUGUACUGUUCUCAAGCUGUUCCAAGAAGCUUCUUAUUGCAGUGGAGAGUGGUAAAUGCAAAGAUGUCUAGUUGUCCAAAGUGCUGAGAAUAAGUGAAUGAGAGUUCUCAUCUGUAAAUGGGACAUCUGUAUUGCUCAGUCACAGGUGGGACAUCCAUAUCAGUCCCUCUGCAAAUUGCAGGGAACAUCAUGGAGGAAGGGGCCGGAAGAAGAGAGAACUAGUGGGAAUGGGAAUAUCCUAAAGUGCUGUCCUUUGUGUGUGACAUGGCAGCUACACACAUGGACUUACAGCUGCAGUGGUUACCUGCACAAGAUCAAGGCAGUAACAGCUCCAGCAUGGCAAGGUUAGGAUCCCCAGGAGCCCUAGGGAAAUAUUGAAGUUGGUAGCUACUGCUAGAGGGAGCCGCCAUUUUUUAUUUGGAGGGGUUGCUACUGGUAGGUGGACCAUGCCCCAUGCAUGACCCCACACUUACAUGCAUAUGGGCAGUGUUAAUGUACUCAACGGAUUUUUUAAAAUGGGGUGGGGGAGGCAAGAAAUAUGAAGGGAGAGGUUUUGAGGAGUUGGAGGGAAAGAGUAGUCUGUGGAUUUGACAAAGUUGGCUGUAUUAUAUCAUUGUAUAAAAUUAUGUAAUUUUGAGAGAGAGAGAGAGAGAGCGAGAGCGCUAAAUUCAUCUGUGAUGGCCAGUUUUACACAUGAACUUGAAUAGAUGAAGUGAUGCAUAAGCGUCUGGCAAACAUUAUUUUGGUGUACAUCUGCAGGUGUGUUUACAGGUAGAUUAGCAGGUAAACUCACACACUGAAUAGAACAGAUUGCCUCCAAUAUGGGCAAGCAUUACCCAAACUGUUGAGGAGUCAAAUAAAAACACCGUCUCAGGAAGGUUCAAUUCUUUCUGUCUGGAUUGGGACAGACAUUCUCAUUCUCUUGGACAUUAGUGCUCCUGAUUCUCAUGUCUUCAGAUUUGGACUUUAUUCUUAGAUGUUAAGAAAACCAUCUCUUCUCCCUCUCUCUCACUCUUACCUGGAUUCAAGUUUCAGACUAAUUACACUACAAUUGUAUCUCUUGCUUCUUCGUCUUGGAGGCAAUGAAUAUUUUCAGAUUUCUUGGCCUCUGUGAUUACAUAACCCAACUCCUAUUUUACAUGUGCAUGUGUUUCUACACAUGUUCAUUUAGCUUAUCAGCUCUGUUUUCUUAAAGUACAGUAACACACUCUUAUUUCAGAAAGGAAGAAAAUAUUCUGGACUGUUUAGUGUUUCAUUAUAUUUUCUUGUUUCCCUUUCCAGUAUUUUUACUCAUCUUUGUGCUUUAUUUUAUUUAAAUAUUUGAAUUUUUGUCUUUUGUCAUUUGGCUGAUAUGUAGGGUAGUACUAAUGAAGACAUUAUAUUGAUAAUAGUUUUACUAUAUAAACAUUUGAAUGCAUACUAAUUGAGGCAUAGUACUGAAAUACAAGACAAAUUCUAAAGCUAAUAUUAACUAAUUUCUGUGAAACAGUAGCAUAUAUUGUAUAUGUAUUUAACCUUAAUCAAAGUUAUUAUAUUUAUAAGACAAACAUCUAUGCAAAAACUCUCCUAUGGGAAUUGAGGAGAUGGCUCCAUGGCUGAAAACACUGGUUCACAUUUAUGAGACUGAGCUCAAAUACCUGAUACUCACAUGAAAAGCUGGAUAUGGCAGCAUGCAUCUAUAACGCCAGCGCUGUGGGGGAUUGUUCUGGACAGGAGGCUCACUGGGACUUGAUGGCUGUCACCCUAGCUGAAAAUAAGUGGGGCCCAUGUUCAGCGAGAGUUCUUGUUACAAGAGAAGAAGUAAGAGGAUGAUAAAGCAGGACAGCAGAUAACUCCUGGCUUCCUUGUGUGCACACAUUGUGUGACCCCUUCCACAAAUUCUCACACUCUAAACACACACAUGCAUGCACACACACUCGUGCACACCAUACACUUGUUUCUUCAUACAAUAAAAUUUAUUUCUCCAUAUUAUAAAGGAAAUAAUUAUAUAACAAGCAUUUUUUAAAUAAAGAAACCUACUGUAUGUGAUGCACCCAUUGAAGUUUAAUGUUAUUGAUUGAAUUAGUAAUUUGUAGUUUCUAAUUUAGAAAGGAAUCUGUCUGCAGACAAGCCACUGGUAUAUUUUUUUGCCAUAAACAUUAGGCUAAUGUUUGUGAGGAUAAAUGAACACUGAGAUUGAAACACCCCUGGUUUAGACUUGUGAGUAAGUGCUUGCCAUACUUAUCGACUUGAAGGAGCCACAUGGAGCAAGGAAGUAACAGUGUUCAGUGAAGAACCUCAUCUAUAAUGUCUCAUGGAAAGUCUUCUGUUGUGAUCACUGCCAUGGUGGUUGAUGUAGAAUAAAUAUUCAGGGUAACUAAAAAACUUGCUUUUAUUAAGUGUCAAGAAAAAAAACAAGUAUAUUAAAAGGAAGAAUAGCAGCACAGUGAUGGUCAAUCUUGCUUAUCAAUGUGGUGGUAUUUAAAAUGACCAUGGAAACCAACCUCCAGGUACGGGAUCAGGCUAACUGAGGUGGAAUACUCACCAUGAAUGUCAAAGUACCAUUCCGUGAACUGAGAUUUUGGACUGAAUAAAAAUGAAAAGGCAAGCGGUACCCAAAACUUCAUCUUCAUCUGCUUCCUGAUUGGCCAGGUGCCUCAUAGUCCUGAAACCAUUCUUUUCCUGCCAUCAUGGACUAUGUCCUAUGAUACUAUCAGACGAAAUAAACCUUUUCUUUCUUAAGGUUGAAUUUGUCAUUUAUUUUGCUAUAGUAUUGUGGCAAAUAAAUAGUACACGCGAAUCAGAUAGAAUGUCUCUGCUAGCAAAUAGAGCAUGUUGGAUUUUCUUUAAGCUCUCUUUAAUUUGAAAUUUUCAGUGGAACAUGUAUGAAUUUGCAAUGGAUCUGCCACUUAUUAAACACAAUUCUGCCAGGUCAUUGUGAGAAAUAAUGGUUUUGUACCAUAUAGAAGUCAAGUAAUUUACAUUUGAAGGCCUACAUUUCAUGACUCUGACAUGGCUAUAUUAAUUCUCAUGACUCUGGCAUGCUUGGAUUAAUUCAUUGACAUUUCCAUGUCUUUCUAGUUGUUAUUUAAUGAAAAAGGAUAGGCUUACAAAAGUAAUCUGUGAAUCACACUUAUGAGAACAAAAAAUGUUAAGAAAUAUGAAUAAAAUCUGUUUUAAAAAAUUUGAGGUUAAGUCUUACAAGAUACUUAUUAGUACUAGGUUAAGUCUUAUCUGGCUUGUAGUGAUCUGUCUUUGUACUGAGAUCCUGUAUUAUAUCUCUUAUCAUUUAGUUCUCCGUUCAUUAAUCUUUUAAUACUCUAUGAUGGUAUGUUAGGUUCACAAUAAAAAUUAUCCCUAAAUUGUGAAGUAAUUAGAAAACUAAACAAAUAAUCAAGACAAUAGACAAAAUAAUAUUGUCGUCUCAUUACUGACAAACUUGAUAUAUGUAAAAUGUGAUUUGUAUUUAGUCUUACAGGCUUAAGGGAUUUCUAAAAUAUUACAAAUACAUGGUGGCAAAGCUACCAGCAUAUUAGCAAGUCUCCACGUGCUCUCCUGUUUUUCUGUAUGUUAAGAUGAACCAACUAAUUUUUGCAAUUGGUUUUGCUGUUUUUGUGCCGAAACAUUUAAAUGCUGUAGUACUAUCAUUUUUUCCCCUUUACCUUAGCAACACUGACAGAGAGCCAUAUGUUCAAGUGCACAAUAGCAAUAUGAAAGCCAACUGGACCUCCAAGUCAUUGCUUGGAAGUGAGCAGAUCUACGAAGCUGCUGAUCACAGGCUGUCUUUGAUGACUUGGGUUUCAUUUCCACAGCCUUUUUUAGUUCACCAUAUUGAAAGCACAUUGUUACUUGGUCCUUUGGCAAAAAAGCCUCUUCCUGUACACCAUUUAUGAUAUUGAGCAUCAGGGUAAAACACAUUAUCCCUAUCAUGAAAGAGAAUAAAUGGCUUGUUAACUGUAUCCAAUUACUUUAUAGAAAUUCAUAGAUCAUUGGUGGAGAUAGAGUGAAAAAGAGAUAACUGAAGAGUCAUAAGUAAAGAGCAUGAAAGUGGAGGGAAUUCAGCUCCCUUGAGAGUUUCUCAGUUGUUCUCACAACCCACUGAGGUUGACUAAUGAGCUCAUGGAUUACUAGUUAGGGUUGCUCCCCUUGGGGGAAGAGAGCCCACUAAGUUCCUUUCUGUCUCAGGCUAUGUCCCUUAUGUAAAUAACAGUUACUUCUGAUAGUUUCUUUGAGACUACAAGUGGUUAGUAUAAUUUUGCCUGAGAAAUUGAGCAAGGGGUCCAAUUUUAAAUUAACAUUUGAGUUACACUUGGAUGCACUCAAAAUUCAUUUGCAUGUCUAUUUCCUCUUCUAAAUUGUUUCCAGCCAUGUUUUUUUUUAAACACAGUCUAUCAAGAUUUCAUAAAAAUAUCAAAUAUCCAUACUAAGGUAUGUAAGCAAUAAGAUUCCCUACAUUUCAAAAUAUAUUUCUUAUGUAUAAUCAAUCAUUUAAGAGUAAUUGACGCUCACAGACAUUAAACCCUCUUACAAGUUAAAGCAACAGCAGAAAAAUACAAAGAAAUUAUUGUUUAAUAUUAGAUGCUCAUAAUAAUAUGCCUUGUUAUUAAAUUUCAAAGAAAUCAAACUCCAAAUUUUGUUAUAUUCUUCUCUUUUGAAUAUGAGCUGGUAAGAUUUCUUUACUCAGGAUGGUUUUGUCCUUAUUGCAUACUCACACUAUCGAAGAAAUCACAAGCUGAGAUAUUGAAUGUGAAAUCUCUAAUGUGAACACUGUCUUGUGGAAUAUAGGUGAGUAUAAAUCUAUUCGAAAAUGCCCUGAGUUUGGAAACCUUGAGACUCCCUCUACAACAUGAGACUCGGGUAUUGGAGUUAAAGAGAAUAUAAUAGAAAAAUAUACUUAUGAACCUUAAUCUUAUUAGGAUAUCAGAAUUUCAUUUUAUAUAUGUCAGUGGUAUGAAAUCUAAACAUAAUAAGAAUCAUCAUAUUAUAAGAUAAAUUUUGAUGUUAUACCAUGACAAUAAUAACUAAGGGAAAUAGGCUCAUGUUUCAUGGGUGCAUAUGAUGAGGGAUAUGUCAGACACUAUCUGUGGACAUUAAACUACUCAUCUCAGGGGUUGAAAAAAUUUAAAGAUCAUUAAUAACUCUGUUCUACAAUUUUUUUUUAAAAAAGAUUUCAUUUUGUGUGUAUAUGUCUUUUCAGCCUGUGUGUGGAUGUGUGUGUGUGUGUGUGUGUGUGUGUGUGUGUGUAUGCAUCUCUGUGAGGAUAUGUAUACCUGAAUGCUGAUGCCUAUGAAGGCUACUGGCAUCAGAUCUCCCUGGAACUUGAGUUACAUGUGGUUGUGAGAACUCAAUUUGGAGCUAUGGGUGCUGGGAACUGGGCUUGGAUCCUCUGCAUGAGGAUGUUCUUAAUUGCUGAGCCAUGUCUCCAGAUCCCACAUUUUCUUUCUUAUUUCAGAAAUCAGGAUGAAGAUAUUUGCUUCUUCAAAGACUGCUCUUCCCAUAGAAGACGGAAAACUUUAAGAGCUGAUCAUGAGGCAGCUCUCCGCUGUUGCUCCAGAGCUUGAUUGCAUGCCACCAUUCUCCCUGCCAUGAUGAUAAUGGAGUGCAGGGGCCCACAGAAGCUCUCUAGUGAGGCCGUACUCAAGGAGUUUCAUUACAUUGAAACUUCAUGGAGUCAGAAGGUCACAUUCACUGCCAAGACCUGAGAGGAUGAAGCACCGUGUGGAGGGAGAAAGAAAACAAAGAACAUCCAGAUCCCAGACACGUAACUAAAGAAAAUUAUUUGGAAGUGGAACCUGCCACCCCAGUGCUCCUGCGUGGAUUUGAUGUGAAACAAGCAAUGGAGACUUCCCCACGUUCCUGACCCACAAAACUUGUUAGCAAAAUAAAAGGGUAUAAGCCACGAAAUUGAGGGGUGGCUUGUUGUGUGACUGACGAUUGAUAAUUAAAGUAUAGCUGUGUUUGACAAACUAACAAAACUGAUAUCUUAGUAGGUUCCAAUCUGUGUUUUGAUUUGUUUUUGUUAUUUGAGAUCAUUUCUUCUGGUUUUGAUUUUCUUUGUUUAUGAGCCUGUCUCAAUAGAAUUGAAAAUUUUAGGGUCUCGGUUUCCAAAAUAUUGAGGCUCUUCGUUUUGAGAGAAAAGGGAAUUACAUUUAGUUCUCUGUCCCCAGAGGCUGUAGAAUGACACAUGUCCAACCCAUGGCCUCUGGGCCAGUUGUAGCUCAAGGAAUCCAUGAAUAUAGUUCAACCUCAAACUGAAAACUUUCUUAAAAACAUUAUGAAGUAUGGGGGUCUUUGUUGUGAAGUGUUUUUGCAAUUUUUCUUGACUUGACUGUGUAAUUCUCAAGUGUGAACUUCAUACCUGAUAAUACCCUGUCACAAUGUUGAACAUGUCCAUCACAAUAAAUACAUUCUAGAC